UACGUAGGGGGGCUAGCGUUGUCCGGAUUUAUUGGGCGUAAAGAGCGUGUAGGCGGCCAGGUAGGUCUGCUGUGAAAACUCGAGGCUCAACCUCGAGACGUCGGCGGAAACCAUCUGGCUAGAGUCCGGAAGAGGAGAGUGGAAUUCCUGGUGUAGCGGUGAAAUGCGCAGAUAUCAGGAAGAACACCAACGGCGAAGGCAGCUCGCUAGGACGGUACUGACGCUGAGACGCGAAAAGCGUGGGGAGCGAACAGG
rnacentral:rRNA from 1 species